rnacentral:rRNA from 1 species
UGGGGAAUCAUGGUCAAUGGGCGAAAGCCUGAACCUGCGACGCCGCGUGAGUGAUGAAGGUCGUAAGAUCGUAAAACUCUUUUCAGGGAUCUUAAAGCCUGUCUGUCAACAACAGGCAGGUCUGACUCUCCCUGGAAGAAGCCCCAGCCAACUACGUGCCAGCAGCUGCGGUAAUACGUAGGGGGCGAGCGUUAUUCGGAAUUACUGGGUGUAAAGGGUAUGUAGGCGGCCCUUCAAGUCAGGUGUCAAAGCCCAGUGCUCAACGCUG